GUAAAUAUAAUUUAAUUAAAAUGAUAGAUUGUGAUUCUAGUAAUGGAGGUUAAACUCCUCUUAUUUACC
rnacentral:tRNA from 1 species